rnacentral:lncRNA from 1 species
UAGAUCUAACGGAUCAAUAUCUUCUCGUUUUCUUCCCUUUUUCUCUUCCUUCUCUGCAAGACUGCAACAUUAAUUUUUUUUUCCUCAAAGAUCUUUGUCUUCUCUCUUUGUCAUCGGUCUUAGCUUCCUCAGCAAUGUAGUUUACUUCUAGUCCUAAUCAAUUCAAAAUUUGUUUAUAAUAACUCAAUCAUUUUGUUUUGGACAGAUCUGUUUAACUAGCGGAGGGAGAACGAUGACGUAAUACACUAAUCCCACCGUCACGACGGCAACUAAAUCUCACCGUCGGACGAGGCUUGUUACCCCCUCCUGGUUUUCUGUCAAAGCGUCUUGCUGACCCACUGCUGCAUCUUGGACCUGUCUCGAUGCCAUCUCAGAGCAAGCUCUAGGACUCCGCCGCUGCAUUUCCGGAGCUCUACAAUUCCGCCGCUGCAUUUCCGGUCAAACUCUACAACUCUGCCGAUGCGUUUCUUCUCCAGAUCUUUGACUCCGCCACUGCAUCUCCGGUUAUUAUCCAGACAAGCACAAACAUUUAAAGAAAUGCAAGAACAACUACAAGCUCAUCAACACAAGAUUGAAGAACAAGAGACGACUAGAUGCUGAUUAGUGAUUACCAUCAAUUCCAUUAAUUGUGUAGAUUUUAAGCUUUUUAAUAUGUAAAGCAGAUUUUAACGAUUAAUGUUUAUAUAUUUUUGAAGUUUUAAUUAUACAUUGUCAUAAAU